GUGCUAGCACUAGAGACUCAAAUCCCUCAGUGUUCCACAGAGCAGGCACAGCAAUAACCCAGCCUUCUGUAUAUGCCAAUUAAUGUGCCGUGACCUGAAGGGACCACCUUUGUAGUGACAGGAUGUGAAAAGAUAUUUCAGUCACUGGCCUCUCAGCUGAGUCAGGACAAG
rnacentral:sRNA from 1 species